rnacentral:tRNA from 1 species
GGGGAUUUAGCUCAGCGGCAGAGCGCCUGCUUUGUAAGCAGGCAGUUGUGAGUUCGAUCCCUG